AUAAGACUGGGAUAACUCCGGGAAACCGGGGCUAAUACCGGAUAAUAUUUUGAACCGCAUGGUUCAAUAGUGAAAGACGGUUUCGGCUGUCACUUAUAGAUGGACCCGCGCCGUAUUAGCUAGUUGGUAAGGUAACGGCUUACCAAGGCGACGAUACGUAGCCGACCUGAGAGGGUGAUCGGCCACACUGGAACUGAGACACGGUCCAGACUCCUACGGGAGGCAGCAGUAGGGAAUCUUCCGCAAUGGGCGAAAGCCUGACGGAGCAACGCCGCGUGAGUGAUGAAGGUCUUCGGAUCGUAAAACUCUGUUGUUAGGGAAGAACAAAUUUGUUAGUAACUGAACAAGUCUUGACGGUACCUAACCAGAAAGCCACGGCUAACUACGUGCCAGCAGCCGCGGUAAUACGUAGGUGGCAAGCGUUAUCCGGAAUUAUUGGGCGUAAAGCGCGCGUAGGCGGUUUCUUAAGUCUGAUGUGAAAGCCCACGGCUCAACCGUGGAGGGUCAUUGGAAACUGGGAAACUUGAGUGCAGAAGAGGAGAGUGGAAUUCCAUGUGUAGCGGUGAAAUGCGCAGAGAUAUGGAGGAACACCAGUGGCGAAGGCGGCUCUCUGGUCUGUAACUGACGCUGAUGUGCGAAAGCGUGGGGAUCAAACAGGAUUAGAUACCCUGGUAGUCCACGCCGUAAACGAUGAGUGCUAAGU
rnacentral:rRNA from 1 species